UACGAAGGGGGCUAGCGUUGCUCGGAAUCACUGGGCGUAAAGAGCGCGCAGGCGGUCGUUCAAGUCGAGUGUGAAAGCCCCCGGCUCAACUGGGGAGGGUCAUUCGAUACUGAUCGACUCGAAGGCAGGAGAGGGAAGUGGAAUUCCCGGUGUAGUGGUGAAAUGCGUAGAUAUCGGGAGGAACACCAGUGGCGAAGGCGGAUCUCUGGGCCGUAACUGACGCUGAGGAGCGAAAGCAUGGGUAGCGAACAGG
rnacentral:rRNA from 1 species